rnacentral:rRNA from 1 species
GACGAACGCUGGCGGCGUGCUUAACACAUGCAAGUCGAACGGAAAGGCCCUGCUUUUGUGGGGUGCUCGAGUGGCGAACGGGUGAGUAACACGUGAGUAACCUGCCCUUGACUUUGGGAUAACUUCAGGAAACUGGGGCUAAUACCGGAUAGGAGCUCCUGCUGCAUGGUGGGGGUUGGAAAGUUUCGGCGGUUGGGGAUGGACUCGCGGCUUAUCAGCUUGUUGGUGGGGUAGUUGCUUACCAAGGCUUUGACGGGUAGCCGGCCUGAGAGGGUUACCGGCCACAUGGGGACUGAGAGACGGCGCAGACUGCUACGGGAGGCAGCAGUGGGGAAUAUUGCACAAUGGGCGGAAGCCUGAUGCAGAAACGCCGCGUGCGGGAUGACGGCCUUCGGGUUGUAAACCGAUUUCGCCUGUGACGAAGCGUGAGUGACGGUAAUGGGUAAAGAAGCACCGGCUAACUACGUG